rnacentral:lncRNA from 1 species
AAAUUAGCACUUUCUAAUUUGAUAAGUAACAAAAUUAAAUAAGGAAACAAAUAUUUGUAUAGGGUUAAUCAAAUUUGGUAAUUAGCUUGUAUUUGUUUUCCAUAUUACCCUUACGAAUGGUAACCUGUUGAGCAGGUAACUAUUAUGCAAAAGUCAAUCUCGCCCCUCAAAUAUGAACUGCUAGAUUUAAUUUAGCCGGUGUAUUGAAGCAUUCCUCUAAUUUUAAAAGCUCGAGCUGCUAGAAAUACAUAAUUAAUUUACUUAAAGCGUACAGAUACAGCGCCUACAGGUCUCAAUUGUGACUCGACCCACUCGGCCUCACGUCACUUCGAAUAUGACUCGGCCAACCCAGCCUUACGUCAUUUCGAACAUGACUCGGCCCAACCGGACCUCCCGCCACAGGACAGGAUACUGAUCCAUUUAAGUCAACACAGGCACCUGCCUAACAAUAUAAUUAUGUUGAUCGAGUAUCUAGGGGCCGUUAAAGAUGAAUGUUUUUAUACGCCAAAGUUUCAUUCUAAUUUUGAUUUUUGAGUGGAAUAAAAAUCAUUCAACUAACCAGGUCGGAUUGAAAAUUGAAUUCAGACGGAAUGAAUGCUUGUUCUGCAAAUAUCUCAAUUAUAUCUAAUAAUUUUAUUUAAAAUUUUAUUAAAUUUUUUAACUUUAAUUUUUAAUUAAAAUGUAAGUUCAAAUUUAAAAAUUAAAAUUAUUAAUUUUAUGUUUUUAUUUG